AGCGAACGCUGGCGGCAGGCCUAACACAUGCAAGUCGAACGAACCUUUCGGGGUUAGUUGCGGACGGGUGAGUAACACGUGGUAACUUGCCUUUAGGUUCGGAAUACCUCAGGGAAACUUGUGCUAAUACCGCAUGUGCCCUUCCGGGGUAAGAUUUAUCGCCUUUAGAUCGGCCCGCCGGUGUUUCGCCAGUUGGUUGGGGUCAUGGCUCACCUAGGCGUCGAUGGGUAGCAGGACUGAGAGGAUGAUCGGCCACAUUGGGACGGAGAGACGGCCCAGACUCAUAAGGGAGGCAGCAGUGGGGAAUAUUGCACAAUGGGCGGAAGCCUGAUGGAGCAACGACGCGUGAGGGAUGAAGGCCGUAGGGUUGUAAACCGCUUUCGCCUGUGACGAAGCGUGAGUGACGGGAAUGGGUAAAGAAGAACAGGCUAAAUAAAUG
rnacentral:rRNA from 1 species